GAUGAACGCUGGCGGCGUGCCUAAUACAUGCAAGUCGAGCGAAUGGAUUAAGAGCUUGCUCUUAUGAAGUUAGCGGCGGACGGGUGAGUAACACGUGGGUAACCUGCCCAUAAGACUGGGAUAACUCCGGGAAACCGGGGCUAAUACCGGAUAACAUUUUGAACCGCAUGGUUCGAAAUUGAAAGGCGGCUUCGGCUGUCACUUAUGGACGGACCCGCGUCGCAUUAGCUAGUUGGUGAGGUAACUGCUCACCAAGGCAACGAUGCGUAGCCGACCUGAGAGGGUGAUCGGCCACACUGGGACUGAGACACGGCCCAAACUCCUACGGGAGGCAGCAGUAGGGAAUCUUCCGCAAUGGACGAAAGUCUGACGGAGCAACGCCGCGUGAGUGAUGAAGGCUUUCGGGUCGUAAAACUCUGUUGUUAGGGAAGAACAAGUGCUAGUUGAAUAAGCUGGCACCUCGACGGUACCUAACCAGAAAGCCACGGCUAACUACGUGCCAGCCGCCGCGGUAA
rnacentral:rRNA from 1 species